AACCCGGGGAACUGAAACAUCUAAGUACCCGGAGGAAAGGAAAUCAACAGAUACUCCCCUAGUAGCGGCGAGCGAACGGGGACCAGCCGAGCCAUGAAUGUGACUAGAACGAGUUGGAAAGCUCGACCAUAGUGGGUGACAGUCCCGUAUAGGAAGCAUGAUUGGACGUAUUAAGUAGGGCGGGACACGUGAAAUCCUGUCUGAACAUCGGGGGACCACCCUCGAAGGCUAAGUACUCCUUACUGACCGAUAGCGAACCAGUACCGUGAGGGAAAGGUGAAAAGCACCCC
rnacentral:rRNA from 11 species